GGAAUAAUUUACUAUUGGUACGUUAAGAUAAUUGCUAAUUAUUGGGGGCAACCCAUAGAGGUUCAAUUCCUCUUUAUUCCA
rnacentral:tRNA from 1 species